CCUACGGGAGGCUGCAGUGAGGAAUAUUGGUCAAUGGGCGCGAGCCUGAACCAGCCACGUAGCGUGAAGGAUGACUGCCCUCCGGGUUGUAAACUUCUUUUAUAAAGGAAUAAAGUGAGGCACGUGUGCCUUUUUGUAUGUACUUUAUGAAUAAGGAUCGGCUAACUCCGUGCCAGCAGCCGCGGUAAUACGGAGGAUCCGAGCGUUAUCCGGGUUUAUUGGGUGUAAAGGGAGCGUAGAUGGGUUGUUAAGUCAGUUGUGAAAGUUUGCGGCUCAACCGUAAAAUUGCAAUUGAUACUGGCAGUCUUGAGUACAGUUGAGGUAGGCGGAAUUCGUGGUGUAGCGGUGAAAUGCUUAGAUAUCACGAAGAACUCCGAUUGCGAAGGCAGCUUACUAAACUGCCACUGACAUUGAUGCUCGAAAGUGUGGGGAGCAAACAGGAUUAGAUACCCGGGUAGUC
rnacentral:rRNA from 1 species